ACUGCUCAGUAACACGUAGUCAACAUGCCCAGGGGACGUGGAUAACCUCGGGAAACUGAGGAUAAACCACGAUAAGUCACUACUUCUGGAAUGGGUAAUGACUCAAAUCUACAUGGCCCCUGGAUUGGACUGCGGCCGAUCAGGCUGUUGGUGAGGUAAUGGCCCACCAAACCUGUAACCGGUACGGGCUCUGAGAGGAGGAGCCCGGAGAUGGGCACUGAGACAAGGGCCCAGGCCCUAUGGGGCGCAGCAGGCGCGAAACCUCUGCAAUAGGCGAAAGCCUGACAGGGUUACUCUGAGUGAUUUCCGUUAAGGAGAUCUUUUGGCACCUCUAAAAAUGGUGCAGAAUAAGGGGUGGGCAAGUCUGGUGUCAGCCGCCGCGGUAAUACCAGCACCCCGAGUGGUCGGGACGUUUAUUGGGCCUAAAGCAUCCGUAGCCGGUUCUACAAGUCUUCCGUUAAAUCCACCUGCUUAACAGAUGGGCUGCGGAAGAUACUAUGGAGCUAGGAGGCGGGAGAGGCAAGCGGUACUCGAUGGGUAGGGGUAAAAUCCGUUGAUCCAUUGAAGACCACCAGUGGCGAAGGCGGCUUGCCAGAACGCGCUCGACGGUGAGGGAUGAAAGCUGGGGGAGCAAACCGGAUUAGAUACCCGGGUAGUCCCAGCUGUAAACGAUGCAGACUCGGUGAUGAGUUGGCUUUAUGCCAACUCAGUGCCGCAGGGAAGCCGUUAAGUUUGCCGCCUGGGGAGUACGGUCGCAAGACUGAAACUUAAAGGAAUUGGCGGGGGAGCAC
rnacentral:rRNA from 1 species